rnacentral:SRP_RNA from 2 species
GCUAGGCGUGGUGGCUCAUGCCUGUAAUCCCAGCACUUUGGGAGGCUGAGGUGGGUGGAUCACCUGAGGUCAGGAGUUAGAGACCAGCCUGACCAACAUGGUGAAACCCCAUCUCUA